rnacentral:rRNA from 1 species
GAUGAACGCUGGCGGCGUGCCUAAUACAUGCAAGUCGAGCGAAUGGAUUAAGAGCUUGCUCCGGUGGAUUAGUGGCGAACGGGUGAGUAACACGUGAGUAACCUGCCCUUGACUCUGGGAUAACUGCGGGAAACUGUAGCUAAUACCGGAUACGACCCUCGGCGGCAUCGCCAGGGGGUGGAAAGAAUUUCGGUCAAGGAUGGACUCGCGGCCUAUCAGCUAGUUGGUGAGGUAACGGCUCACCAAGGCGACGACGGGUAGCCGGCCUGAGAGGGUGACCGGCCACACUGGGACUGAGACACGGCCCAGACUCCUACGGGAGGCAGCAGUGGGGAAUAUUGCACAAUGGGCGCAAGCCUGAUGCAGCAACGCCGCGUGAGGGAUGACGGCCUUCGGGUUGUAAACCUCUUUUAGCAGGGAAGAAGCGAGAGUGACGGUACCUGCAGAAAAAGCACCGGCUAACUACGUGCCAGCCGCCGCAGUAA